CCCUUAGAUGUCCGGGGCCGCACGCGCGCUACACUGAAGGAAUCAGCGUGGCUUUCUCCCUGACCCGAAAGGGUUGGGAAACCCGUUGAAUCUCCUUCGUGAUAGGGAUUGGGGCUUGUAAUUGUUCCCCAUGAACGAGGAAUUCCCAGUAAGCGCGAGUCAUAAGCUCGCGUUGAUUACGUCCCUGCCCUUUGUACACACCGCCCGUCGCUACUACCGAUUGAACGGUUUAGUGAGGGCCUCGGAUUGGUCUCGGCCCGCUCUUUACCGGGCGGCGCCGUUGGUCGAGAAGACGCUCGAACUUGAUCGUUUAGAGGAAGUAAAAGUCGUAACA
rnacentral:rRNA from 1 species